rnacentral:tRNA from 1 species
UGCGCCCAUAGCUCAGGUGGACAGAGCGGCAGACUUCGAAUCUGCAAGUCGGAGGUUCAAGUCCUCCUGGGCGCGCCAA